ACGUUGUUAUAGCCAUGAUAUACUGUACUAGCUAUGAUAAAAUAUAAUGCCGGCUGCUGUAUUGAAUAGUAAAUGCUUUAAUUCUUGUUCUUGUGUUCCUGUGGCUUUGAGGUAUAUUAACUAAUAUACUCUCUGAAGUAUAUUAGUCACCUUGGGUGGCUGGGCACCCGUCUGAGGCAACAUUUACAAAGGCAGCUUAAUUCUGAUGUUUUCAAUAAAAAAUUGGUAAAAAAUAAAUAAGAAAAAUUGAAAAAUAUCUGAGUUGCCGGCAUGACGCAGGUACAGAGGUAAUUCCACAUUUUCUUUCAUCAAAGACUUCAUUGAUACAAUGCUUUGGCGAUAGGACACAGGAACAUCACACGAGACAAUCAAUGAACGACACAGGAACUGGGGACUCGACAGUAAAUAGGGGGAUGAUCAAGGGAAAGCGAGACACAGUUCACAGGUAAAUUCUCAAAAAGCCUGUAUUUUACUUUUAUGCCUCCAUUGAGAGGGACAGGAUGCAGCUUGCAUGAAGACUGUAAACAGGAGAUGCAGAGAAGAAAGAAAAACCACAGCACAGAGAGAUGAGUGAAAGAGAACUCCUCCACCACUGCCAGCACCAGGAAGCAAUGAUGGCACCAAGCAGUGUGGCUUUAUAAGGAGGUUGUGCAUGUCCCCAGCAUCUCCAGCUCCAUAUCAUCCUCGUGAUUUGAUCUCCAGCUCAUUUGCCAGGACACCUCGAUGCCCUAGCAGUGUUCACUGUGCAAAAAGCUGCAAUUAUGACACCAUUAGAGCUUAAUGCUCACUGAAUACCUACAAAACGGAGACCAGGGAGGAGACCGGCUUCUCAGAGGAUCCCAUGAGAAAGUCAGCAGGAUAUAAAGAAGACGCUUGCAACAUGUUCCCCAAUUACCCAUGCUCACAACACUGCUGUUAGUGUCAGCGAUUAGGCUGUCGCUGGGGUCUCUGGGGCCAGCCGGUGCAUUGGUUUGUGAAUGUCAGGGGGUGAUAUGUGGCGAAUAAAUGGGACCUUGCUAAUCUAAAGACUUGAUGCUGUGUCACAUUAUGGACACCGGUAGGAUGAUUGACAGUAACAGUGUUGGGCCAGUAGGCAUGUUGUGAAGGCCAGUCUGCAGAUGAUAUGCCCCCCCCCCAGAAUUCAGUUCAAGAGCCAUUUUUGAGACACGUGUGUUUCGAUUCAUUUCCAGCCUACUAUAAUGUGUAUGCGAACAACAAAACAUUGACACUGAUUGGUCAUUUCAGUGCAGUACACACUGACAGGUAUGGGUAACAUUGUUCUCUGUGUGCUUUAGGGAGUGGGUUGAGGUCUAGACACCAGGCCACUUUGGAGGACGCUGAUAUAGAAUCUCUAUGCACCAAUCAAUGUUGCAGGGAAUAUCUGUACGACACUGUGCACACGCACUCAGUCCUGAGAGGGGGUGUGGCUGUAGUCAUGGAGAUGAGCUAUAAACAGGGCUGCCAUCAAAUCCAUUUACAUUCUGACCAUUUCAGUAAGUGAGACAAAUUUAAAAUUCAGAAUUUGUGGAAAUGCAUUGAAGUGGAUUAAAAGUGGAAUGUCGGCAUACUUCCUGAAGUGACUGGAAUUGAAACAACAUUAAGUGGAUUGAAAGUGGAAUGUCGGCAUACUUCCUGAAGUGACUGGAAUUGAAACAACAUUAGCCCUGAAGCAAUAGUAGACACCCUUUAUAGGGGGUUGGUUUCUCUAUUUCCGAGGUACAAUUCGUUUAGCUUGUUCCCUCAAGCAAUGCUGCAGACCUGAAUUAAUGUUAUGUUUCUGUGCUAUUAAUCAAGGUUAGGGCAGGUUGUAAAGGAGAAACGGAUCCUGGAUUGACACUUUAGAGGCUCCCUCUGUCUGUCUGGAGCAUUUAUGAAACCAGUCCAUAGCUCUUUUGAUGCAGUCAGUUGACCAUGGAUGCUUGAUAUGGACAAAAAGUUGCGAGGCUCAACCUUGAAGGCCACAAUACAUUGAUUCUCAUGAGUGGAAUAGGGAAACACAUUGUGGCCAGUUAAUGAGGAGAGGACAGCACUUCCUCUCUGAGCAAAAACCAGCCUUGCUGAUCCAUGACAGCCCUGAUCAGAUAUUUACAUGAGAAAAAUUAGAUCCACCUCAUAAAAAAAUGUGAAAACAGUAGAAAAGACUUGCCAAAUGGUUAAUUCUAAUGGGCUUUCAUCUCCUGGGUGUUUGAGAGUUUAACAUCAAUCUGAUUAAAUGUUUUCCUUUUAGACGUCAAGCUUUUUUGGAGAGGCGCAUUAUUAGUCUGUUUUAGCCUGUUGAAGCGCAGGCGUCUUUUUCCUCUUCCAUUCGUUAACACGUGUGACCUCCUUGACUGCGCUGGUGCCAGUCAUUGGUGUUAGCAUCACACUGCCCUCUGAAGGUUUCCUCCUUCCUUUUACCAUAAGGUCAUUGUCACACAGGGUUCAACUUGUGAAAACUCACACCCAAAGGGCCACACUCGAAAAUUCACUUUUUUGCUCAGCUUCCUGUAUGGCAGCAGAGAGGAUUUACAUUUUAUUGGGAUUCUUUUGCAAACUCUUCUUCCUGGGCUCUGACACGUGAACUAAUUACAAAAAAAAAGAAAAUCGCUGUAGUGAAUACAGAAAGCCUAGACCUUUUUGACAUUUUCGCUUUGGUCAUGUCAGUGCCUCAGUUUCAUUCUUUCAAAUUAGGAUUUUUGGUUGUAUUGUAUUAUUGUGAGAUUAAAAUAUAUAUUACAAAUGCUACAUUAAAAUAUCAUAAUUGUGUAUUUCUCCAAUACCCUUUUAAUUAGCACAGGUGUAACCAGUCACCUUCCAAACCACACACCAAGUUAAUUGGCUUUCCCCUAUGUAACAUUUUAGUGACUCAAAUGGUUUCAGGAUGAAUUCAGCAGUUUCUGUAGGCUCCUGCUG